AGCGUAGACGGAGUGGCAAGUCUGAUGUGAAAACCCGGGGCUCAACCCCGGGACUGCAUUGGAAACUGUCAAUCUAGAGUACCGGAGAGGUAAGCGGAAUUCCUAGUGUAGCGGUGAAAUGCGUAGAUAUUAGGAGGAACACCAGUGGCGAAGGCGGCUUACUGGACGGUAACUGACGUUGAGGCUCGAAAGCGUGGGGAACAAACAG
rnacentral:rRNA from 1 species